UCAAGCUCUCUAGCUUCCUCAG
rnacentral:sRNA from 1 species